rnacentral:rRNA from 1 species
GACGAACGCUGGCGGCGUGCUUAACACAUGCAAGUCGAACGGAAAGGCCCUGCUUUUGUGGGGUGCUCGAGUGGCGAACGGGUGAGUAACACGUGAGUAACCUGCCCUUGACUUUGGGAUAACUUCAGGAACUGGGGCUAAUACCGGAUAGGAGCUCCUGCUGCAUGGUGGGGGUUGGAAAGUUUCGGCGGUUGGGGAUGGACUCGCGGGUUAUCCGGUUGUUGGUGGGGUAGUGGCUUACCAAGGCUUUGACGGGUAGCCGGCCUGAGAGGGUGACCGGCCACAUUGGGACUGAGAUACGGCCCAGACUCCUACGGGAGGCAGCAGUGGGGAAUAUUGCACAAUGGGCGGAAGCCUGAUGCAGCAACGCCGCGUGCGGGAUGACGGCCUUCGGGUUGUAAACCGCUUUCGCCUGUGACGAAGCGUGAGUGACGGUAAUGGGUAAAGAAGCUCCGGCUAACUACGUG